GCCCAUCUCAGAGGGUUUGGGACAUAUGUGGGAACGCUGCCCUUCCGAGGUAAGAGGUGGAGCCCCAGCCAGCAGAAAGGAAGCUUCUGAGGAAUGCUCUAGUGUUUCCCAGAGUCAGGGUAUAUGAAAGGCGCUUUAGAAACUGUGGUGUUUGUACUGUUGCUAACAGUACAGAUGUUAGGCAAAGAGCCUACGACUGCACCUCGUGGCCCCUGGGCUCCCCAAGCGCUUGGUGCCACUGCAGUGCCCUCAAGCCUGUGACCCAGGCUGCUUCAGCUUCUGAUGAGCCUACAUGCACGUUCACGCACUUUGAAGACACAGAAUUCUAGAAAGCAGCCCGAACACUGCGGCCAUAAGCUUCUAUGCCAGCUCGUUCAAGGGGGUCCCAGGAGGGGCCAGGAGACUGGCCGGCGUCUCAGCUUCCUACGUCCGCAUGGGCAACUCUGAUUCCACCCGUGGUGUGUCGCAAAGGGCCUCCUGAUUGGGCCUCAUGCCAAACAACUUGUUACAAAAAGAGCUUGGGUCCCAGACUGCACUGAAGCUUCAUGAGACCUCUCCUCAUCUACACCAGUGAGUGGCCGACUCUGGAGCCCAGGCUGUUGCUUACGGGUCUGGUGGUGAAUUCUCCAUAGUCUGUGGUUGCCCUGGAGUUUGCAAUACACAUUGAUAACGAAUCCAUGCCCAUCUUCACAGAACAUGAUAUCACUUUACAGUGUAUAAGGUACAGUACAAGUACCUUAUAAUAUCAAAAGGUUCCUAUUCCUCCCUCCUGUUCUUUGUAUUGUUGUUGUCAUUCAUCAAAUGUAUUCUUUAAUCAUAGUUUCCUUUAGUUCUUUGAAUAUAUUUAUAAUGGCUGAUCUGAAAUCUUUGUUAAUCUAACACCUUGUUAUUCUUAUAAGCAGUUUCUGUUGCCUGAUUUUUUUUUCUGCUUAUAAGUCAUACUUUCCUGUUUCUUUGCAUGUCUUGUAAUUUUUUGGUUAUAAUCAAGAUAUUUCUGAUAAUGUAGUAGCUCUGCAUACUGGUCCUUGUUUUUGUAAAUAAACUGGGCUUAUUUAUGUUUUAGUGACCAGCUGGCUUAUUUCAAUAAGAUCUAUUUGGCCCUCCUCCACUACUCCAUAGUGGGAAGCCUCUGAUGCUGCUUCUCAGGCAGUGUAGCCUGCUAAACCUGGGAUGACAGUGGUUUUGGCUAGCUUCACUUUGACUGUGUUAACAUUCAGCUGUUAAACUCCACCAAUUACGAUUUUCAACAAUGCUAUAAGGAACACAUUGUUUCACAGACAGUAUCUGAUCAAUUUUGGGCUCCUUUGAAAGGAUAGUUCUUGAGGUCAAUGUUUGAGACUUGUUCUGAUCCUGCAAGGACUCCUCCUGGCUGUCUCUUCUCCCAGUUCUCUCCAGGAAAGUUAUAGCCUAAAGUUCAGCCGAUAACUCUAAUGAAUCUACCAAUCCCCUCCCAAUCCCCAGUCACUGCAACCUUCACUGUUUUUGAAACGCCCUUAGGCUUGAACUUCUCCACACUCUUUUGCAAAUGAAGUCAGUUCCUUUAGGAAGUAAUUUGGAGCUUUCUGUUUUACAGCCUGCUUCUGCUCCUGGUGAAAAUCUCUGAGCCAUUGUUCUGGAGCUGGGGAUGAGGACAAUGGCUUGCAUCUCUUUGAGUGAUGGGAGCCAAAUGCUCGGUGGAUGGGGGAUAGUGGCCUUAGGUCUUUUUGGUUGGCCUUUCCCAGGAUGAGAGCACCACCUUAAAAGCCUGAACAAGAUGCACUGGGGUCCCAGUAUUUUCAGCAGUGAUGUCCCCAAGGUAGAGCCUGUGAGCCAUGAGUAGGGGCUGGGUAGAAGGGACCCCCCCCACCUGUUGACUGCAUUUAUUUGAAACUUAGCUUAAGCAAGAGGUGGCUGGGAGCAGGAUGAGAAGUGCUGACAUCCUGCCCCUCCCAGGAAGACAGCCCUCCAACUGUGAGCUGGCAGAGAGGAAGCCCUGAGUUCUUGGCUAUACCAGUCUAGAGUGGAGUUUUUGUCUCAUUGACCUGGAAGAUGGAAGGAGGGAGGAAUCUUGGUUCAGAUACAACAAGCUCAUUCUCUUUAUCAAGCUUUAGUAUGUUUUCUUGAAUAAGCACUUCUUCAUUUGGUGUAUGCCCUUAGGACCAUUUCUAGAGACUUUAAAGAAUUGGGGGUUUGGUUUGUUUUUAAAAUAAUUCUCACUGGUUUCACUGGUUUCCCUUGGGAGUUGUCUGCAAAGCUCCUCAUGCUAUCAUGUCAGAAGUGGAAUUCCUAAAAGCUACUUUUGAAAUGUGAGAAAUAUUUCUCCUGUUGUAUUUAAUGUCAACUCAAGAAUGGUUUUCCAUGGGCUUUUGGCCUGUCUUUCUUUGCCCAUCUCACUUCUGUUGACCAACCCCAUUCCUACCUGUAUUUUCCUCCCUCCCUUCUGUUUUCAUGAGGUUGUUUUUAACAGCUUCUUACUUCCCUCCAAAAGGAGCCCCAUUCUUUUGCACAGUAAUCACCAUCCUAGCUAGGGUCAUCCUAGACACAGGCCAUUCAGCCCGGAGACCUAUUUUUCGCAGACCAUGGGUGUACAUGUGAAAAGAAACCAUUUGUCUUCCUAGAUUAUAACCUGAAGAUUUGAUACAACCCAGAUCUUCUCAGUAGAAAUUUUUUUUGGUCACAAGUAGCAUUGACCAAACUCUCUUCAAAUUCAUUUAGCUUUCUUGAUAAUAUAGACUCUUAGGAAAUGAGCUUCAGAUAUACAUGGUUGACAACAUAAACUAGUAUUUUCUUUCUUUUCCAGUAACUGCUGAAGUUUCAAAAUGUCUGUUUACCAUAUUUAAGUUUUGGUAAGUAGUUCAUGUUUUCCUUAUCUGU
rnacentral:lncRNA from 1 species